CAUUGUCCAAAGCGGCGGUCUGCCCGUUCAGGGACAGGGUGCCGGUGAAUUUGUCUAGACGGUUGUUGGGAGGCUCACAUCGCACUUCACCUGAGAGAGACGGAGCUUCUCACCAUUGAAGCCAGCCAGCGCAUCGAUGUUGUCUCCCAUCUCUCCGGUUACAGUCAGGGCCUGUUUCACCUUCAGACAGCACAAACAUCAGAGGGACAGCUGUGGUGAACCAGGAGAGCGAGGAGACUUGUGGGAUUACCUGUCAGCAGAACACACACACGCACAAACACACACAUUUAAAAUGAUUUAAUGCCUUGCAUCUGUAGGAUUGAAUUAUGUUUUAUGGCCUUCCUUUUUUGAAUAUU